AGUAGCUGGUAGUAGUGACAAGUGAAUGUAAAUGGCCAAAACAUGUUACCAACAUGCAGUCACUUGUUCAGAAACAAGCCAUGCCUGUAGCAGAUUGGACAACCUGCUCGUGUUCCAUAACAUGCCAAGCAAGUAAGUACAAAAUAUAUUCAUACCGGUUUUGAUUUUGUGACCAUCAUUAAAUGUCAAUUAUAGAUACAUAUGACCGAUGCGAGGAAAAAGCCAGUCAAAACAACAAGUAGUGAAUUCUUCGUCAACGGAAGAGUGUGGUUGUCACACAUUAUGUUUGCCAUUGUAUUGAAUGUUUUAUUAUCUAUAUAUUUCGUGCGCGUUGGUUUCUGGGUCGUUCUAUAGGCCUAUCUGGAACGAUAAUUACGUAACUGCAAGGUCUGGAGCUAAACAAAACAUUCCUGCUGUUACGUAUCCAAACGCCGCAGUUCCUGCUCUUUUUCUUCGUCUGUAUGUUUUUGCGCCGUUUUAAUUGGAGUUAUGUGUGCUUAUGCCUAUAUUGUAGGUUCUAAAUUAAGUCGCAUAAACGUUACAAAUCUUUCUGAACUACAAGACCUACACAGCAUAUAAUUUAGGUACAACACUGUGAUGACUUGACAUUCUUAGUUGAAAUAUGCAAAUUAUGUAUUCAAGGCAAAGAAAUGUGAUUAUAAUAGUGGAUGAGAGAUAUGUCAAAGCAGCUCUUUCUUAUCAUGGGGGGACAGUUUUUAGUAAAGCUCAAAAUUAUCCAGAUAAAUUAGCUCGUGAGUAGUUGUGGUAAAGAGUUAAGCAACUGUCAAGUGACACUUGCGGUGCUUUCAAUCAUACUUGUCAUGGCUUCAUCUCCCUCACAAAAGUUUUUCUACAAUCAACACAGGACUUGUUUUGCUUGCACACUUUUCCACUGAUCCACUAGAGAAGGCAUUUGGAAAGCUUAGACAAGGUUGGGGGGGACAUAUUUUUCUCUUGAAUGAAUGCAAAAAGCACGGUCUACAGAUCCAUGCUGUUGUAGCUGAUGGUAUGUCAGUUAUCAGACGCUUUUUUAAACUUGUUAGUGGAAGUUCCACAAUUCCAUUAGAUCAACCAUUCACUGCUCCAAAUCCUCAUGCCCCAAGUCGACCGAUUUUUCUCUGCUCAGAUCCUUCUCAUUUGCUCAAGACCACAAAAAAUUCUCUCUUGUCCUCGAAACCAGGUGGUACAAGGUAUAUAAACAUAAGCGGCUUUGAUGUACUGUGGACACAUGUUAUUGAACUGUAUAAAGAAGAUCAAGCUUCUGAGAUUCUUUCAAAAAGUCUCCUUACUUCAGAGCACAUUCACCUUACCCCUUACUUAAAAAUGAGAGUUAACCUGGCAAGAGAUGUUCUCAGCUGGCGUGUUGGCAAAUGCCUUAGUACUAUUUUGUUACUGUGAAAAGUUAAGAAUUUUCUCGUGUGACAGGAGGGUGUGUCGUACUAAAUGUUAAGAUUUUGUUACUGUGAAAAGGUUAGAAUUUUCUCGUGUGACAGGGUGUGUCGUGCUAAAAGUUAAAAUUUUGUUACUGUAAAAAGUUAAGAAUUUUCUCGUGUGACAGGGUGUGUCGUGCUAAAUUUCGGAAGCAAAUAUUGUAAUGAGACUGUUGUAUUUUUUGCAGUUGUAUUAAAUCAAAUUCAUUCUAUAAAAAAUAUGGAAAGGAUCAUUAGCCUAAAAGCAUAUGCUCCAAUCCACUUUUGCGGCAGAGAAAAUUAGUAAGUGUAAUUUUUUGCAGUUGUAUUAAAUCAAAUUCAUUCUAUAAAAAAUAUGGAAAGGAUCAUUAGCCUAAAAGCAUAUGCUCCAAUCUACUUUUGCGACAGAGAAAAUUAUCAUGAAAUAGAAGAGGAGGUGAAGAGAAUCAUAAGGGAGGGCAAAAGGGGAGGCAAAAGGGGAGGCAAAAGGGGAAGCAAUAGGGGAGGCAAAAGGAGAGGCAAUAGGUGAGGCAAUAGAGAAGACAAUGGGCAGCAACGAUGGGGGCAGAAGGAGAGGUACAUCGAUUAAGCUUUGUUUAAAAGCUAAUAUUAUCAUUUAACUGCUGAGUUCUCUCAAUCUGGGGAAAUUUUAGUUACUUCACCAUUUUUAUAUUAAACAUAUAAUUUGUUAAAUAAGAAUUCAAGAGAACUGAACGCAGGUUCAUUUCCAGGAGGGAAUUCGAACGGAAAAAAAGGGCGAGUGUUCCGAAUCAAUAGUUUAAAAAAAUGGCAAAGUAAGUUAAGUUUAGAAUUUUAAUAAAAACCUUUAUAACUAAUUGACUACUUCAGGUGGCUGAAUGAGGCAGCAUUUUUGAAAAAAAAAAAGAAAAAAACAAAACAGCGGUGACUACUGGAGUGGCUAAUAAAGUGUUGUAUAGUGGAGCCGGGGCAAGCGAACUAGUAGCAGGCGGUGUUGGGGAGCACAAGAUGGGGGGUGACUACUGGAGUGGCUAAUAAAGUGUUGUAUAGUGGAGCCGGGGCAAGCGAACUAGUAGCAGGCGGUGUUGGGGAGCACAAGAUGGGGAAGGCAUGUGGAUCGAUGGUGGGCGGUGUUGGGAAACAAGAAGGGGAGGCACGUGGAUCGGUGGUGGGACGUGGAAAGUGGAGAGGUGGGAGAUGGAGCAAGGCGCUAAGACAAAGUUUAGGACGGUGGUAAAAUAAUAAAUUGC